UGCAAAGAUAAAAACACAGCCCCGGUUGGUAGUCCGGGCGCGGACUGAUCCGUCAGUAACCUGCCUCCUUGGUUGUCCCUUCUUUGUGCA
rnacentral:ncRNA from 1 species